CUAAGCUUCACAAACUGUGUUUCAAGAUUUCUGUGUUCAGGAUUUAGUGGGCGGCAUAAACCCGCCUCUGCUGCUGUAGAUGUAUAAAUACAUUCAGCGCACACUACUACUACAACAGUCUACUGAUAGCCAGUUAGCUGAGUUAGCUGCCGAACUAGCUUCUGAGUUAGCCGCCGAGCUAGCAGCUGAGUUAGCAGCAGAAAGCUCUCAGAUGUAGCGUCCAUGUUUCUGGUAGAGGUGGUGACUUUGAUUGACA